UUGGAACAAGGAAACAAACAAGAAAGACAAAACUCAGUACAACUAACAUGCUCAUACACCCAUCUCAAGCAAGGACAUAAUCUCACAACAACUAGCAAAUCCCAAUAAACACCAAACACUACUACAAAACCCGCUAUUUCUGGACGCCAUGAGCUCGACGCGGAAGGUACAGCCUGGAGAAAGUUUUGAUCCGCGUGUUUUCUCGACGCGCUUUGUCGUCUUCCCUUAUUGUCGACAGGUAAAAGCGUCGAGACACGAGGCAUAUGAUAAGGCACGUGGUAGACUAAUGUUAUGCUUCACAAAAUUUGGGGGAAAAACCCACUCCAGUCUCCCACCGGCCUCAUGCUACUAUCUAAUAACUGAAACCUAGCCUCCCACUAUUGAAUUUCACUCUCUAUCAAUCCAUGUUCUUGAAAUAUCAAAGAUCCAUCAAUUGAUUUCAUCAACAGAUCGGGGGAUCUUUGGGUUUUUGAUGCUUGAAGUUUACCUUACAGAUGUAACUAAUUAUUUUGUGUAUUCUGCCGUUAAUUUGCGAAAUCGAUAAUGUUUAUAACUUCGUUUUUUUCCUUCCUCUUCGCAGAUCUAUUGUUCAAUUAUAGGGUUUUAAUCCAUUAUUUAACAUGAUUUGUUUCUUUUUUAUUUGGGUAAUUUAUUGGAUUUGUUAAAUUCACUCAUCUAAAUUUUUUCAUUUAUCAUUGUGUUAUUAAGGUUUUUUCUGGAAAUGGAAUUAACUCAAGCAUAAUCAUCAGUUGGUGGAGAUGGAGAAGAGACGGGGUAGUCGACCCUUUCCUCGGCUCUUCAAAAUUUUAAACCCUCGUCAUCGUCUAACCAGUUCAGUUUGUUGCUUAUUUUUUUUGUUCAAUUACGUGUUAUAUAUGAAUUUGGGUGAAGUAUUUAGAGGUAAAUUUGGGGGUUUUUUGGCUAAUUUUUUUAAUUUGGGUAUUUUGAUUUUAAGGUGUUUUGUUAUCUGGAUUACAAUUCAUUUAGGGUAUAUUGUUUAUCAUUAACUUGAUUCUGGUUGUUUAUAGUUUAUGAUAAAUUAAUUAUUAUCUCUUAAAUCUGGUUUGUAAGUCUUCUUUAUUUCUUUCAAGUUUCGUGUUUUAUUUCAAUUCGUAUUCUAAUGUUGAUUGAAAUUAUCUUCUUAUUCAGAUUAUAUGUAAUUGAAACGUUAAGUGAAGCAACUUUAAUAAUUUGAUGAUUGUUCAAUUAGUGAAGUUUUUUAUGCUGGGUGGUUAGGAGUAAUAGGAAUUUUAUGGAAUAACUUUUGUAGUGUCUAUGUUUUAUUCUUUUAUGGACUAGAGACCUUGACCUUCUUUAUUGGUUUGCCAUUAUGAUAGAAAAUCAUCUUAUGGAUAAGAUACUACUGUCAAUGUUGAGAAAUUCUCAAUUACGUACAUUUUCUAUUGCCCUGCAGUGCUAGAUCAAGCGUGUUGUUUUGGAUAAUACCUUUUUCUCCUUAUAUUAUUGUAGCUUACUUUGAUGAAUUUUGCAAUUGGUUUUUAGUUUCAAUUAUCCCUCCUCAUCCAUGCGUGUUUCUUCUAGUCCUGAUCAACUAAUGUUUAUGACAGUAGGAUGAAUAUAUCAGAAGGAAAUAUUAACAUGGAUAAAUUGGAACUUCUAGACAAUUCUUUUUAUAUUAUUCUCAAAAUUGAUUUAACAUAUGAACUUUGGAGUCAUAUUCUUACAAUAAUCUCCACUGAUAUUUAACACAUAAGAAUAGUGCCGAAAAAUAUCUAAAAACUCAAUUCCUAUUUCAAUAAAUUAAGAUUAUUAUGGGAAUAUGUAAUACCUCGAAAAUUUUAAACGUGAUUUAUUAAAAUUAAAAAUAUUUAUUAGCUUGAUUUCGUUUUAAAUAAUUACGAAUAAUCGAAUUUCGUUAUUUUAAUCGUUUUUACGAUUUACUUUAAACGAUAAAUUUAUAAACGAAAAUUUAUUUAUUUUUUUCGUUAACGAUAAUUUUUAUAAAGAAUUAUUUUAAUUAAACAUUUAUAUUUUUAGUAAGUUUCAAAAAUAGCAACAACUUCUGAAAUUUUUGGCCAAAUAAUGUGAAAUUAUGAAAUUGCCCUUAAAAGAGCCAAAAUCCCCUUUUCUCUUUUUCUGCUUGCUCUCCACGUGCAAAUGAGUGAAUAAAUUUUCUUCCUUCUCCUUUUCCCUUGCUCUCCACGUACAAAGCAAGAGGAAACAUUUUCCUUCCUUCCUCUCUUUCCCUCAAUUCAGUCCAUGUUCAUUCCUUCCCAUUCACUCUACAUGGAUACAAAUUCAGUUUCUAUUUCCUAAUUGAAAUUCAACAUCAAAAAUCAAAACAACAACCAAUUUCACUCCCCUUUUGUUCUUCUGUGAUUCAAACCCACCACCGCCAACAACCACCGACUACCACCACUACCACCUCCGUCAAACACCACCUCAACCACUCCAGCACCACUCGACCACCCAACACCACCACCGCAGCCCACCGGGUACUCUCCCCUGCUGACUCCUCUGUCGCACCCCCUGCUCCCCUCCCCUGCCUACCUUUUUCUUUCUUUCCCUCGCCGCACCACCGUGCCGCAACCACUAACUCCCCCCAACCAUUCUCGCUGCCACCCUCAACCACCGACCUCCUCUCAAAUCCACCACCUUCACCCUUGCACCCUUGCACCCUCGCCUCCUCUCUCUCUCACUCAACUCGAUCCCCUGCCCCCCCGCCUUCUCCCUACCUUCACUCUCCUCGUGCGUCGGCGUCGGUGCCGCCAUGCCUGCGGCUUUCCCUUCUAUACUGCUGCGUCGCACCACCAGUCGUAGACCACCGCCCGUCUUCCCUUCCUCUCCCUUUUCCUUUCCUCCCCUGCCUUCCCCUGUCUUGUGCUUCCUUUCCCAAAAUUCCAGAAAUCAGUUUCAAGUGAAACUUUGAUUUCCUUCCCUCAAACCCAAUUUAAAGAUUGGGCCAUUUUUCCACUUGGGCCUUUGAAUUGGACUCGGAGCUCAGGACGAACGAACCAAGGAAAAUCCUUAGCAAAAUCGUGGAAGUGAGGUACUGCUGGGAACGAUGGAAACGAUUAGUGGCGAGGAAUUUCACAUUAACAAUGUCACCUAGUUUAUGCUUAAUGUUUUAAUAAUUUAAUUAAAGACUUUUAGUAAAUUUAUGUACUUUUAUUUUGAAAAUAUAAAGGAUUAUUAUAUUAAUUUGGAGUUUUAAUAGCUUAUGAUUGAUGGUUUCCUUGUAAUUCCCAAGAGGGAGUUACGACAGGUAAUGUCCCGACCAAAUCAGGUUAAUUCCGCUGCUAAUUAUGCUUUAAUAAUUGAAUUAGAGGUCGGGGCGUUACAGAAUAUUACCUCCGCAUUUUGGUCUACAGUAAGUUAAUUCAAAGAUGCAACUAAUAAUGUAUGUAAGAGGCGAAAAUCAUGAUAUAAAGGUGAUAUUAUUAGUUAUUUAUUUGUCGCUUGAUUGAACUUGUUGAUACCAUUGCAGUUAGCACAUACAAUUUGAUCUAGAUCCUUGCGAGCUGCAUUUGCCUUCAGUGCGCUGCCACUUGAUUUCCUUACAAAACAAACAACAUCGCAUUCUGGGAAACUAUAACUCAUUCUUGGCAUUCAUGGACUAAGCAUAGUUUGAACAGGAAAACAUUGAAAUUCUUCUGGUUUAGUCAGUGAUUAGGUUGUUUCCGACUGCAGAGUGUUUUAAAUGGGUUGUAUCCCUAUGGUCUCUACCCAAAAUAACAAUAUUUUUUCAUGAGAAACUCAGUUCAAUGUAAUAAUUAUUUGAACAAACAUUUAAGGUGGGGGGUGAGAGAGAAAUUAAGAAGUGACUGUGCAUGCAUCAAUUACUACUAGUACAAUAGCCAAUUUCUUGUGCAACAGGCACGCGUUAGUCAUGAAAUGUUAUUGGCUGUCAUUCCUAACCCAGUGACAUGUUUUUCAACUCAAGGUGUACUCAAAAUCAAGCAUCCAGGGUACAAUCAGGCUCAAACUUGUUGGUUGAUUGGUUUACAAGUAGACGCUACAAAAGCAAAGAAAGAUGGAAUUUUGAAUUAUGCAGCAGCGAAAACAAUAUUCUCUAUGAAGAUGGACAGCCUUUGUUUUCUUUAUAAGGGUUUCUUUAAAUAUCUCAUGGAACUCUUGAAUGAUACCAACUACUCUUUGAUGGAAAGAGUCACUUCAGGAAGUUCUAGCUGCAUAAUAGAGAGAAGAUAAAUUAUGCAGUAAGUUGUAUCCCAUGUUCCACGGAGAUUAUACUAGAAGCUCUAAACUUACAAGUAAAGAGAAAUGACGAAAAUUCUUUGAAAGCUAGAGAAACGUCGAUAAAUUGUUCAAUAUGUUUAAUGUAAAACAAUAUCGGUAGGAAGUCCGUUGUGAUAGUUUAUUAUAUAAUGUUAUAUUGUAUGGUUGUUAUUUUUUGUUCCCAUUAUUUGAACAAAUCCAUACAAGACUCAUACUCUGUAUUCUAUAAUAUGUUAAUUAUUAAUGCAAUUUUUUCAA